rnacentral:rRNA from 1 species
AGAGUUUGAUCCUGGCUCAGGAUGAACGCUGGCGGCGUGCUUAACACAUGCAAGUCGAACGAACCUUCGGGUUAGUGGCGGACGGGUGAGUAACGCGUGAGAAUCUGCCCUCAGGAGGGGGAUAACGGUUGGAAACGACCGCUAAUACCCCAUAUGCCGAAAGGUGAAAUGAAUUUCGCCUGAGGAUGAGCUCGCGUCUGAUUAGCUAGUUGGUGAGGUAAUGGCUCACCAAGGCUUCGAUCAGUAGCUGGUCUGAGAGGAUGAUCAGCCACACUGGGACUGAGACACGGCCCAGACUCCUACGGGAGGCAGCAGUGGGGAAUUUUCCGCAAUGGGCGAAAGCCUGACGGAGCAACGCCGCGUGAGGGACGAAGGCCUCUGGGCUGUAAACCUCUUUUCUCAAGGAAGAAGAUAUGACGGUACUUGAGGAAUAAGCCACGGCUAAUUCCGUGCCAGCAGCCGCGGUAAUACGGGAGUGGCAAGCGUUAUCCGGAAUUAUUGGGCGUAAAGCGUCCGCAGGCGGCUUAUCAAGUCUGCUGUUAAAGCGUGGAGCUUAACUCCAUCAUGGCAUUGGAAACUGAUAGGCUUGAGUAUGGUAGGGGCAGAGGGAAUUCCCGGUGUAGCGGUGAAAUGCGUAGAUAUCGGGAAGAACACCAGUGGCGAAGGCGCUCUGCUGGGCCAUUACUGACGCUCAUGGACGAAAGCCAGGGGAGCGAAAGGGAUUAGAUACCCCUGUAGUCCUGGCCGUAAACGAUGAACACUAGGUGUCGGGGGAAUCGACCCCUUCGGUGUCGUAGCUAACGCGUUAAGUGUUCCGCCUGGGGAGUACGCACGCAAGUGUGAAACUCAAAGGAAUUGACGGGGGCCCGCACAAGCGGUGGAGUAUGUGGUUUAAUUCGAUGCAACGCGAAGAACCUUACCAGGGUUUGACAUCCUGCGAACCUCUUAGAAAUUUGAGGGUGCCUUCGGGAAUGCAGUGACAGGUGGUGCAUGGCUGUCGUCAGCUCGUGUCGUGAGAUGUUGGGUUAAGUCCCGCAACGAGCGCAACCCACGUUUUUAGUUGCCAGCAUUUAGUUGGGCACUCUAGAAAGACCGCCGGUGAUAAACCGGAGGAAGGUGUGGAUGACGUCAAGUCAUCAUGCCCCUUACACCCUGGGCUACACACGUACUACAAUGCUACGGACAAAGGGCAGCUAACUCGCGAGAGCAAGCAAAUCCCAUAAACCGUGGCUCAGUUCAGAUCGUAGGCUGCAACUCGCCUACGUGAAGUAGGAAUCGCUAGUAAUCGCAGGUCAGCAUACUGCGGUGAAUACGUUCCCGGGCCUUGUACACACCGCCCGUCACACCAUGGAAGUUGGCCAUGCCCGAAGUCGUUACUCCAACCCUUGUGGAGGAGGACGCCGAAGGUGGGGCUAAUGACUGGGGUGAAGUCGUAACAAGGUAGCCGUACCGGAAGGUGCGGCUG